rnacentral:misc_RNA from 1 species
GGGCACUGCAAAUUUCCAAGUGUGACUCUAUGAGGCUGAGUUUCAUCCCAAGCUGUGUGAGGCAAGUGAUUUAGGUGCCCCAUUUUGCUAUAAUUAAAUGGUUGAGAUUUAAUAUAGUAAAGUUGGUCUAUUCUUUUAGGCAAAUGGGUGCCUAAAUCUCUUGGCCUUUUUCAUUGAAAGUAUUAUUUGAUAGGUUUUUCAUGUGGUCCAAUGUAUGCUAUUUUAUGGGUUGUUCUUCUAGAGUAGAAGAUUACAACGGCUACAGAGCUAUGUGUGUGGAGUAUUCAGUUUAUUUAUUAUCCCAACGGCUAAUUAUUUACUAGUGGUCCUCCAUCGGAGCCGACAAGCUUUUUUCAGUUUGGACCAAC